UACAAAUUUUAUGAUAUUAUGCUAUUUAUUUUUUUUAUAUCCGUCUUGGUUUUGGGAAUGUGUCCACUGUUGUUUCAGCUAACCAGCCAUGGCAAUUUUACAUUAAAAGAGCUUCCAUUUUUCAUUCUUCUUUCAAAUAUGAAAAAUAUAGUAUUCUUGAUUGUAAAUUGUUCUUUUUUUCACUUGAAAUUGAAAUGGCAAAAUAUAUAUAUGGAAUUUAGAUGUAUAUAAUAUGGAAAUAUGUAUUUAGGUAUAGAAAAGUAUAUAUAGGUAUUCAGACUUAACCAUAAUUUCAAUUGCAAUUUGAAGACAGCUAACUUUUAAGAUUGUGGUGCAGAAAGUAUAGAGUUAUAUUCAGAGAUCUUAUGCUUUAAAAUUGAAUUACUAUAAACCAUACAUUGAAUGUAUUUUUACUUUUAAACAAAACUGUGUUUUUCUCCUGUCUCCCUCACCAUCCUUAUUCUGUAUUAGGACUUUAGUCUUCGUAUAAUACAGAAUAGACUUUCUAUAUUAAAAACAAAGUUAUAAACCUUGCAUUUCAUUUUAUUUUUUUGAGACAAGGUCCCACUCUGUUGUCCAUGCUGGAGUGCAGUGGUGCAAUCAUAGCUCACUGCAUCCUUGACCUCCCUCAAGUGAUCCUCCUGUCUAAACCUCCUAAGUAACUAUACAGGUGUAUGCCUCCAUGCCUGACUAACUUUAAACUUUUUUGUAGAGACACGGUCUCGCUUUGUUGUCUAGGCUAGUCUUGAACUCCUGGGCUCAAGAGAUCCUCCUUUCUUGGUCUCCCAAAAUGCCAGGAUUACUGGUGUGAGACACUGCACCCAGCCAAAAAAAAAAAAUGCAUUUAAACUUAAAUGUCAUCUGUAUAAAAAAGUCUCAUCUCAAGGAGACUACUCUCCAGUUAACAUAAAAAUAUCCCAGAAUGUGAUAUAGGUUGUUUUAGCAUUUGCUGCUUUAUUCAUGAACUGGAGAAGAAUGAUGCUUUGAUACGUAUCAUUCUUAGGUGAAUUGAUUUAAAGGCAAAAAAAAUCUAACCUGGAAAAAACAUUUCUGCUAUGUUAAAAAAUUUUUUUGAAUGAAAAUGCUUAAUUUCCACUGGUUGACAGUUGUGACUUCUUUGAAAUGUAGUUAGCAAAAAUUUAUUUCUUGAAUGGUUCACCCACGAUGUAAUUGUAUAUAAAUAAUAGAGAUCAAACACUUAGACCCUAGGAUAAAAAUUUUUAAUUGGUUCAUUACUGUUACUCUUCCCUUGCCUUAAAUAAACAGCUAAAAGUAAUACAUGAUUUCCUGCUUAUAGUGAACCUUUAUAUGUGAUAUGUAUCUAUAUGUAAUAAAGUUACAACUUCUAUUUUGUACUUUUAAUUUUGACAUAUUCACUGUGAUAAUUUUUAGCUUUCACAUUUAAAUACAUCUGCUUAAUAUUUAGCAUGACAGUGUUUAGCUUUUAUUUGUAUUUUGACCUAAAAUCUAAUUUAUGAAAAAAAAAAAAAAAAUAAGACCAUCUUUUAUUUUUGUUCAUUUUAGAGACAGGGUCUUACUGUGUUUUCCAGGUUGGAGCCUAGCCUCCAAUUCCUGGGCUCAAGUGAUCUUCCCAUCCCAGCCUCUAAAGUAGCUGGGACUACAGGUGCACACUACCAUGCCCAGCUCAUUAAAAUUUUUUUUUUGUAGAAAUGGGGGGGGUUCUCACUGCAUUGCCCAGGCUGGUCUUGAACUCCUGGCUUUCGACACUGGCACUUUGGCAUCCCAGAGUGCUGAGUUUACAGUCAUGAGACACUACACCUGGCCUGACUUUUUAAAAAUUUUAAGUUGUAGGGGCUGGGCGCGGUGGCUCACGCCUAUAAUCCCAGCACUUCGGGAGGCCAAGGCGGGUGGAUCACGAGGUCAGGAGAUUGAGACCAUCCUGGUCAACAGUCUCUUGACCUCGUGAUCAAGUGAAACCCCGUCUCUACUAAAAAUACAAAAAUUAGCUGGGCAUGGUGGUAUGCGCCUGUAGUCCCAGCUACUUGGGAGGCUGAGGCAGGAGUAUUGCUUGAACCCAGAAGGCAGAGGUUGUGGUGAGCGGAGAUCGUGCCAUUGUACUCCAGUCUGGGUAACAACAGCGAAACUCUGUCAAAAAAAAAAUGAAAAAAGAAUUUUAAGUUGUAUUCACAUUAUUGUUCUUUUAUCUAACUUAGUUCUAUUGAAGAUAUAAAACAGGAGAAACAUUAAGUAUAGUAAGAUUGUAUAUACAAUAUACAGUGUCUAUAAAUAGCUUUGUAUAUGGAUUAAAAAUGCCUUUGAAUCUUCUAAAUGGUUCUGUUUUUUCCAAUUAUAGAAUGAUAGGUGGCCUGCUUUGAUAACUAUGGAAGAAUUUUACAAUGGAGGCUUGGGAUAGCAGAACCUAUUAUGACUUAAUGAUGUGGUGGGAGGGGCAUAUUUGUUCCCACUUUGAUAUUCACCUUCAUUGCCCUCACUGUCUCUUUACACUGUGGCUGCUUUCUCCUGGCUUUUCGCAUCUCCCUUUUCAUUUCUGUCUCUUCCCCUUGGGAGGCUCCUCUUUAUUUUCCAGCUUUUGGGAUUCAACACAGUUAUUUAUAUACAUUCAUUCAUGAAUCACAUAUUGGACACUUAGAAACCAUACAGUAAGCAAGAUUUUGGUGCAGAAAUGAAUGGAAUAGGCCUCUGCCCUUAGCAGGCUCGUAGUGUGGUGGACUAAAGUUGAUCCUUCAUUGAUUACAUAAGUGUUAAACCACCGAUGUUACAUAAUGAUUGAAUUUUAGUUGGAACCAUGGUGAGGAUGGUGCAGGAGCUGAUCUGUCCUGGGCACCGUUGCUCCUGCUUUUCUCUCAAGAGAGGGAAUGAGCAUAAAGGGUGCUGUGAGUCUCAUAAUAACUGCUUUCUUGAUUGGACACCAUGUCUUAGGGAUCCAGCAAUGGGCCUAUCCUACCUUGGAGCUUAGCAGAUCUGUCUCUGCCGGCUCAGACCUCAGUGAAAGACUCAGGGAACAGGAGUGCACACAUCAUGGAGGGGAGCUGGAGACAUGGUAGAGAUGGCUAGCUGUAAGUUGACAGUAUUUAUUUUUGUACUAUUAGUACCUAUAUGUUAGUGCAAGGUUUCAGUUGCUUACAUAUAUUAAUGCUUUUAAGUCUGGUCCUGUGAUUUGCAUGACUUAAAAAAAUUAGAAGUGCAAAUUCCUAAUGUUUGUAGACUAUCUGCUGCUUGGCUCUGGAAUACAGACAUUAACUUUAUGGUUAAGGUGGUCACUAAUUUCUUUAAAGGCUAGAAAUCAUCAAAGGACUGAUUUCUCUACAGGGCACACUGUAGUUCUAGAAUCUCCACCUUUAUUCUAAAGGUAUUUCAGAAUUAUCAGAUAAACUUAUGCUUAAUUUAUUAAAAAAUUAUAUAUCAUACAGUAGUUGUAGGAGGGCAUGGGUCAAAGAGCACACAAUUGGCUAUCAUUCAAGUCUGAUAUGUCUGAGUACUGGCUGCUUCAAAUGCUCAAUUCUCUAUCACAAAUAAAGAUUUAUUGUAAGAUGAUUCUGAUGACUAAUGGAAGCUCUGAAGGAUUAAUUUUUUUCAUUGUUUGACUUUCACAUAGUUUCUGCUCUUUAUAUUGCUGCAUCACUUUUAAUCACUUUAUUACUGUUGCCUGUUACAAGUCAGUGGAAUUUUAUUGGAGAUAUGGGUGUAUGUAUUUAACAUGCACAACCAGAUUAUAUAUUUAAUUUGGGAACCAGAUUUCUAUAGAAAUUCAAUAAAACUUUGCUCCUCACAGUCUUCCUUUUAUAGAUUAUGGUUUAUGCAUUUAUCUACUCUUCAGUUUAUUUUCUAAAUAUAUGUUUUAGAUAAAAUAAAAUUUAAGUUAUAUUUAUUUAAGACCAAAGUGUCAUGCUUCUUUUAAUACUGUUGCAUCACUGAAUUUUUCUGAAGUCUGAAUGUAAGACUACUUUAGGGAAAAAAUAUUUUUCUAUUUGCAAAUGUAGAGUUACAAGUGUAGAGCUCCUGCUUUAGAAGGUUGAUUAGUUCAUCAGUUACCAUUUGGAAAUAAUGUUUUUGUACAUGUAAAGGUAUUUAUAUAGUUUAUGAUCAUAUCUCACUGGCUUUAAUGAGCUAACCUUGAACAUAGUUGUUUAGAAAAACUGCUUUAUAAAACCAGUUUUUCAUUUUUUUGAGUAGAUGAUUUGCCUGAAAACUUUUUUCAUGAUCUGCCCAACUCCACCAAAAAAAUAAUUCUUACAAAAUCUCCUGAUGUUGAUUCCUCAUGAAGAGCAAUUGAGUAUGUACCACUCAUGACAGAAGCCCCCUUCUUUAGAAACAGUUUUUGAGGCUGUGCACAGUGGCUCAAGCUUGUAAUCCCAGCACUUUGGGAGGUCGAGGUGGGCGGAUCACCUGAGGUCAAGAAUUCGAGACCAGUCUGACAAACAGAGAAAUUUUCUCUACUAAAAAUACAAAAUUAGCUGGGUGUGAUGGCGCAUGCCUGUAAUCCCAGCUACUCCAGAGGCUGAGGCAGGAGAAUUGCUUGAACUUGGGAGGCGGAGGUUUCCGUGAGCCGAGAUCGCACCAUUGUACUCCAGCCUGGGCAACAAGAGUGGAACGCCUUCUCAAAAAAAGAAAAAGAAAAGAAAAAAGAAAUAAGCAUAGUUUUUAUAAAGUUGAAUUUACUUUAAUGUCAGCAUUCUAAUUUUUUUUUUUUUUUUUUCAGAUGAGAAUCAUGACCCAUUAAGGGUCCUUGGGCAUAGGGAUUUUCCUCAGAAAAUGCAUAAUCAAAUUGUGUGCCAAUCAGAGUGAUAGUAGCUAGGAGUUUGGCAAUACUCUUAAUAAUUUAUUUUUCACACAAAGGCACUUUUAGCUCCCCCCCACCUUUUUUUUUUUUUUUUUAACUAUAGUAUAUUAUCAGUUCAUGACUGAAGAGUUCUGGAGCUCUAAAUAUUUUGGGUAGUGGUAAGUUUCUGUAGCUUUGUCUUUUACCUUUUUGGCGGCCUUAAAAGCUUUGUUUACUUUUAAAAAAUUGCUGGGGCCAGGCACGGUGGCUCAAGCCUGUAAUCCCAGCUCUUUGGGAGGCCGAGGCGGGUGGAUCACGAGGUCAAGAGAUCGAGACCAUCCUGGUCAAUAAGGUGAAACCCCGUCUCUACUAAAAAUACAAAAAUUAGCUGGGCAUGGUGGUGCGCGCUAGUAGUCCCAGCUACUCGGGAGGCUGAGGUAGGAGAAUUGCUUGAACCCAGAAGGCGGAGGUUGUGGUGAGCCGAGAUCGUGCCAUUGCACUCCAGUCUGGGUAACAACAGCGAAACUCCGUCUCAAAAAAAAAAAAAUUGCUCAAGUUGGAAAUGCUUGCAUAGCAACAGGAUAUUUAUUUAGAAGAUUAGAUGCUCCAGAGCUAUUAUGCUGGAUUAGAGUACAGGUGGUGGGGGGUUUUGGUGGCACUGCACAUCAGUGUGUUUGGAGGAAAAAAAUGAGGCAUCUUGGAGACUGAUUUUUAUAAGUAACCCUAAUUGUUUCUUAAAUUGGUAAUAAUAAAAAGGAAACUAUGAAGAGGAAGAAGGAUGUUUUGUGAGUCUUCUCAGAAAUUUGGGAAAGAUACUAAGUUUACUGAUCUUUCAAGAAGUAUCUGUAAAUGAUGAUGUUUUGACUUUAUUGGAGUGGAAUAUAGAAAAACAGGGAAAGUAAGGAGUGGGGGGAAGGUUAAGUCAUUCUUCAUUUAAAACUAAGAAUUUAGAAAAUUCAGCUGGUUAAAUUUCUGAUUCCCCAUUUUAUGUAGCAAAGGUUGGCAGCCAGUGACAAAAAUUAUAUCAUUUGAAAUUUACUAAAUUCAGCUGAGUCUGUCAGCAAUUCUAAGAAACAAAAAUGUCAUUUACUGCUCUUGGAGGUUUAUACAGUUUAUAUGUUUAUAUAUAUAUAUGUAAUGAAGUUAGUUGAAAAAUGAGACUUUUGUAGGAUUACCCAUAAGUCAGGCUAACAUCCAAUAUUCAUCACUAUUUGUGGGGAUCAUGAUAAAUUGUCAAUGGGAAGUCCAUCUGCUUGGAAAAAAGUUUUUAUACUGGUUAAAGUCCAGGAAUUAUGAAAGUGAUAUAUUGGCAGAAUGAGGAUUCACUUAUUCCUCUUAUACCUUAUGCUUAUACCUUAUACUAUUCCAAAGGGAAUGUUGCCUAAUUGUCUUUGACCUUGGAAAUGGUGGGAACAUGAAUUUGUCCUGAAAAUGUUUUUUGUUGCUAGGAGAAAAAAGGUUUUAACGGCUGUUGUACCUUAAAAUAAUUUGGGGAUGCUUAAUGUGUGACAUUUUUGAUAAGAAAAUAAUUAAAUAGUGACUUUCCCACAUUGCAGAAAGUUUCCAUUUACAUGCCACUUGAACUUUACUACUAGCAACAAAGGGAUGUUGACAGAACUUUCAUAGUUGAACAGAUACAGUGUAGAAAUGAUAUGGAAGGUUUCCAGAGAGUAUUCCCAACUGAAUCACCAACUAAAGUGGUUUUCAAUUUAGCUCAUACAUUCAGGGUGACGGUUUUCAAAUAAGGUAUAGUAAAUAUUUGGAUUGUCACUACAUGGUUUCAUGAGUUCCAAAUCUAGGCAAAAAUGUCCAGUUAAAAGAUGCACUAAGAAAAACUUGUGAGUUUCAUCUUGGUGUUCAUUUUCUCUGGGUAGAACUGCCAAACAAACAUUAAUCAGAAAGGAAAAUCAAGUGCAUACAAACAUAUUCACUCCCCUUUAGAGAUGCUCUUACAAGGAUAAGGAAACAGAGGCACAAAUGUAACAGUUAACAAAUCUGUAUCUGUCUAUAUAUGUUAGAUAGAUAAAGAUAUUACCAAUGAUAAGCAAUGGGAUCCUUAAAGAUGAAUUAAAUCUAGAGCCUAGUCUGAAGGAGUAUAUGUUCCUUGAGAGAUUGAGCAUGCAUAGGAGCUAUGUGGUAGAAAUAAUAAGUAACGUUUAAUGUGUGUCCAACCCUGCUCUAAGCACUUAAUAUUAUUAACUCCUUUAAUUCUCCCAACAACCUUAUGAAGUAGGCCUAAGAGUAUAGAUGAGGAAACUGAAGCACAGGCUAAAUAAAAUUUCCAAAAUCAUACAGCUAAAUGAGUGGCAGAACCGUGUUACUUUGGUCUGAUGACAGUUUACGUGUUGUAAACCGUAAUGUUUUGCUAAUUCUUGAAAGUAGUUGGCACUUACAGGAAUUAUUUUCUAAAUCAAAUGGCUUUUGAGGAGUCUUCAUUUGCACUCGGUUAUGAGAUCUGGACCUACCAUUUAUAUCUUUGUAAGCCAUUUAUAAGGCUUAUCAAGGUUAUCCAGUAAGCAUUACUGAUCACUAAAGUAGAAAGAUUCGUAUUGCUAUGAAGCUAGGAACACAGGGGAUCUACCACUAGGGAAAAAAUGUUUAGUGAAAACCCAGAACUCUGCUGGCCUAGACAGAUGCAAGGAAUAAAUUGCUCUAGGAUUCUCAGAUGACUUGUGUGCCUGGAUAAGCUGAAGAAGAUUAGUAGGUCAGGAGAAGGUGGCACAACCAUGAGCUCUGUGAGGACAGACCAUAUACGGACUGUCUUAAGAACAAACUGAUGCUUUUAGCUAAAUUUUUAUGCACUUUGUUUUUGGCAGGGUUAGAAGAAAAAAUACUGAAGGUGUGAAAACUUCUAAUAGUAGAAAAUUUCAAGCAUAUUCAAAAAUCGAGUAGUAUAAUGAACUCCCGUGUACCCAUUAUAUAGCAUCAGCAAUUAUUAACAUAUUGCCAAUCUUACUCCUCCCUCCACCUAUCUCUACUGAAAUAUUUUAAAGCAAAUUCUGAUUAUCAUUAUUUUAUGCACAUAAAUGUCAGUUACAUGUCUUCUAAGUGAUGAGGACUCUUAAAUACGUGACCUCGAUACAAUUGUCUUACCAUUAAAUGAACAAAACAGUAUUACUAGAUAGCUACUCAGUGUUCACAUUUCCCCAAAAGCCUUGUAAAUACUUUAUUUACAAUUAAUUUCUUCAAGUUGAGACCUCAGCAAAGUCUGUGCACACAUUGGGUUUGGUUGAUGUGUCUCUUAAGUUUCUUUAACUCUAUGGUAGUUCCCUCUUCUCUCUUUCCCUUACCAUUAAAUUGUUUUUUUUAAAAAAAGAUUAAUUUAUUUUGUAGCAUUUUAUACAUUUUGAAUUUGGCUGAUUGUAUCCUUUUAGUGUUUAACAUGUUUCUUCAUGCCCUGUUAUUUACCUUUAACUGGUUUGUGGAAACUUGAUCAGAUUUUUGUUGAGAACACUUACUUUAUAGAUGGUGGUGUGUGCUUCUUGUUGUAUCACAUGAGGAGGCGUGUGAUUACUUAUUGUAGCUCUUGUUAAGAUCGACCACCUAAGUGGGCUUAGGUGCUGCCAAUGUGAUCCAUAUAGUGUAAAGUUCUCCAUCAGCCUUUCAUGUGGUAGUUCUGGCCCAUUAAAUUUGUCUACAUUAGUUAUUUCCUUAGGAAUAGGUUACCUCUCAUUUUCAGACAUUUGUGGGCUUUGGAGAUAGUAGUUGUAUCCAGUUGUAUCCAGUUUGUGUUUGGGGAAUACCACUAAACGCAAAUUGUAGUUAAGCCUUGGUCAUCUUUGACUUAACUAUGCCAGUACUGAAGGAUAUGAAAGUGUAUUUAUAUGCACACUUAUGAUAUAUAUACAUUUAUUGGGAUGUUCGGUAUUUCGAUAGAAUAAAAACUGAAUACGUGUCCUUUGUACCUUGGAACAUGAGUUGACCCAUUCAUUAGGGCCUGUUAAUCUUUGCAGUUAAUCAAAAGCCAUGUCAAGUAAUAAGACAUUUUUGGGUGAAGUUGAGGAGCCAGUGGUUAGGCAAAUUAAGAUCAAUCCCACAUGAGAGUCUAGCUUUUAAAAUUUGUAUUCAGUGCUUAGAAUGCUCAGAUCCUGCAGGGCAUUGCCUUCCCAGUACUUGGAAAUCAGAUUUAUACAUCAGAAGUCAGUUUGGUGAGGAUUAGAAGUGAAUAACAGUUCUUAUCCAAAAUUUAAUAAUAAAAAUCUGAUGACCUACUUGUGUUCCAAUUAGUGGUCACCUUUUUAGUGACCAGUAUAUUGUUGUCUAGUUGGUAUCAUUCACCGUUUAGCAGUAAUAAUUUCUUAACCAGCUUUCCUUUUUUUCUUAUACCUAUUCCGUCAUCUAACUAAAUAAAGUCUCUCUCUCGUAAUGUUUUACAACUGAUUGCUCUUUUGAUUUUCUUUUUGGGUCUUUGUAAGUAACAAAUUAGAGCAUUUUAGUCAGGAUUCUGUCGUGUACUUUAUACAUGUGAAGUAGAUAGAAUACACCCUAUCUUCUGUGAGUGCCGUUCACUCUCUCGAUUAUUUUUAAUUUAGUCCAACCUUUUAAAACUUUCAAUUUGUAGAAUACAUUUAUGGGCAGCAAGUAAUUUUUAAUUGUGUCAACUAGGGAAUAAAAGUGUUAUUCACAGGCUAAUGUUUUUGAAAUUGGUAGUUAUCAUUUAAUGAGGUCAAACGAAGCCAUUUGGAUGGGAAGAGGAGUAUAAUAAUGCUGGUUAUUACAGUAUUACCUUUGUGUGGAAGAUGCCUGCUCAUUUUCUACCUCAGUUAUUUGCUUUUGUGGUGACAUAGUUGGAUUUUAAUUUAAAUUUCACUGUGAAUUGUUACCUAACAUUUCUUAAAAAUGAUUAUAUAGUGUAAUGUAGCAUUGAAAUGGAAAGUUGGUGGAGUAUACAAAAGAUCGUCACAUGUCUUAUGACUCAUGGCAGUUAAAAAUGCCACAUAUCUCUUUCAAAGCCAGAAGAUGCCUGACUAAUUUUUGUGUCAUGAAGUUCUAUUGUUAGGAACAUUUUUCUUUUUCUUUUUCUUUUGCUUUUUGAGACAGAAUCUCACUCUGUCACCCAAACAGGAGUUCAGUGGUGCAAUCUUGGCUCACUGCAACCUCUGCCUCCUGGGUUCAAGCAAUUCUCCUGUCUCAGUCUCCAGAGUAGCUGGGAUUACAGCCACCUGCCACCAUACCCAGCUAAUUUUUUUGUAUUUUUAGUAGAGACGGGGUUUUGCCAUGUUGGCCAGGCUGGUCUUGAACUCCUGACUUAAGGUGAUCCUCUCACUUUGGCCUUCCAAAGUGCUGGGAUUACAGGCGUGAACCACUGUGCCUGGCUGUUAGGAGCAUUUUUCUACUAAAAGCUUCUGGUAACUUUUUCAGAGAACCUCCAUAACAUCUAGUUAUACAUAUUUUGAUUAAUGAGGAAAGAAAAGAAACAAAUUAGACCCAUCAGGAAAUACAGAUAAAACACCCUAUUGUGUCUCUUAGUGAAACUAUUUUUCCUAAAGAUGUUAAAUCAAAAACUUGAGCUCUGAUUCCUUAUUUAUUGAAGAAAUAUUUGAGUUCCUAUUAGAUGACAGGUGCUGUUAUGAAAGCAACUGAGUUGUCAGAUUCAUUGGAAUGUUUUAUCGGAUUUCCAGUAGUCAGAAGUCAUGCAGAUUGAGUCUGGGCACAGUGGCACACACCUGUAAUCCCAGCACUUUGGGAGGCUGAGGCAGAUGGGUCACUUGAGGUCAGGAGUUUGAGAUCAGCCUGCACAACGUGGUGAAACCCUGUCUCUACUUAAAAUUCAAAACUUAGCUGGGUGUGGUGGUGGGCGCCUGUAGUCCCUGCUACUUGGGAGACUGAGGCAGGAGAACUGCAUGCACCUGGGAGGUGGAGGUUGCAGUGAGCUGUGAUCGUGCCAUUGCACUCCAGCCUGGGCAACAAGAACAAAACUCUGUCUCAAAAAAAAAAAAAAAAAAAAAAAAGACACCAUGUAACAGGUUAUCUGAAGGUUAUCUAAAUGGUCUUAAUUAAAAUAUAAACAAAAUUAUGUGUAUGACUUAAGUAUUCUUUUGCCUUUCUGGAUUCCUAAGGACACAUCAUAGUGAAAAACAGAGUUAUUACAGGUAAAGUAUAAUAUGGUGGCGUGACUUGUUUGCUUUGAGAAUAAAGUAAUUGGUCACUUGGAUAAGGUAGUCAGAUGUGCCUUGGAGAGUGGAGAGAAGUCAGCUUGGAAUAAAAAAUUAACUGUGAACCUGGGCAACAUGGUGAAACCUCUUCUCUACAAAAAAUACAGAAAUUAGCUAGGCAUGUGGCCCGUAAUCCCAGUUACCCGGGAGGCUGAGGUGGGAGUAUCGCUUAAGCUCUGGUGGUGGAAGCUGCAAUGAGACGUGAUCAUGCCACUGCACUCCAGCCUGGGCAACAGAGUGAGACCUUGUGUCAAAAAACAGACAAACAAGGGCUGGGCGCGGUGACUCAAGCCUGUAAUCCCAGCACUUUGGGAGGCCGAGGCGGGUGGAUCAUGAGGUCAACAGAUCAAGACCAUCCUGGUCAACAUGGUGAAACCCCGUUUCUACUAAAAAUACAUAAAAUUAACUGGGCAUGGUGGUGCGUGCCUGUAAUCCCGGCUACUUGGGAGGCUGAGGCAGGAGAAUUGCCUGAACCCAAGAGGUGGAGGUUGUGGUGAGCCGAGAUCAUGCCAUUGCACUCCAGCCUGGGUAACAAGAGCGAAACUCCGUCUCAAAAGAAACAAAAAAACAAACAAAAAACUGUGAUUCAUAGUGGAGUCUAAAGGAAGGAAGGUAGACUCUCUGUCUGACUUUGCUGAGCUAGGAUAAUGUGGACAUACAUACAUGCUCCUUUUUUGCUUUAAGAGGAUGUUCUUGAAAGGAGUCUGCUAGGUAUUUGAAGGACAUCUGGCUUGAUAAUCUGUGAUAAUAUUUU